GCCGCAGUAUUUUAACUGUGCAAAGGUAGCAUAAUAAUUAGUCUUUUAAUUGAAGACUUGUAUGAAUGAUUGGACGAGAUAUAAACUGUCUCAUAAAAAUUUUUUUAGAAUUUAAUUUUUUAGUUAAAAAGCUAAAAUAAAUUUAAAAGACGAGAAGACCCUAUAGAUCUUUAUAUUUUUUUUAAUUAUUAUCCUUUAGUUUUUUUAUAAAUUAAUAAAUAAAAAUAUUUUGUUGGGGUGACAUUGAAAUUUAAUAAACUUUCAAAAUUUAAUAACAUUAAUUUAUGAAUUUAUGAUCCUUUAUUAUUGAUUAAAAAUUUAAGUUACCUUAGGGAUAACAGCGUAAUUAUUUUGGAGAGUUCUUAUUGAUAAAAUAGAUUGCGACCUCGAUGUUGGAUUAAGAUUAAUUUUGGAUGUAGUAGUUCAAUUUAUUAAG
rnacentral:rRNA from 1 species